GAUGAACGCUGGCGGCGUGCCUAAUACAUGCAAGUCGAGCGAACGGACGAGAAGCUUGCUUUUCUGAUGUUAGCGGCGGACGGGUGAGUAACACGUGGAUAACCUACCUAUAAGACUGGGAUAACUUCGGGAAACCGGAGCUAAUACCGGAUAAUAUUUUGAACCGCAUGGUUCAAAAGUGAAAGACGGUCUUGCUGUCACUUAUAGAUGGAUCCGCGCUGCAUUAGCUAGUUGGUAAGGUAACGGCUUACCAAGGCAACGAUGCAUAGCCGACCUGAGAGGGAGACAGGCCACACUGGUACUGAGACAAGGUCCAGACUCCAAAGGGAGGCAGCAGUAGGGAAUCUUACGCAAUGGGCGAAAGCCUAACGGAGCAAACCCGCGUCAGAGAUAAAGGUCUUCGGAUCGUAAAACUCUAUUAUUAGGGAAGAACAUAUGUGUAAGUAAAUGUGCACAUCUUGACGGUACCUAAUCAGAAAGCCACGGCUAACUACGUA
rnacentral:rRNA from 1 species